AACACACUUUUCUCUUCCUUCUUGGACCUGGCUGCUGACCUUAAGUGAUCAGUGAUUUUCAAGACAGUUGACCUGAGAGGGAAGGAAAUGCAUCAUGGUGAGCUGCUUACAGUGAAGUUGGUGGCAAAGUUUUCUUGACUUCAAAGGCAAUGAGAUCAGGCCUAAGUGUACUUCCAUCAUAAAUAUUUACUAGUUUACUGCCUUUAGACACAGAGCAUAUAUCACCACUAAAUUACUGUGGCUUUCUCAUGGCUUCACCACAGUUUAUCAAUGCUCUGUUUGCCAUUAUUACUGUUGCUUCAUGCUGAGUGAAAGGACUACAUUUUUAAAGCAAAAUAUAAGUGUGACACCAAACAUUUGCAGUUACUGACCUAUUACACACAUGAGCCCACCUGUGUGUGUGUGAAAAUGACUGUUUGCAAGCACAGCUGUUGGUUUUCAGAGGGUGUAAGUGGCAUCUUCCUUCAUAUGUGACAGAAGAAAAUAGUCACAAUUCUGCAAUGUUUGUAGAAAUAUGAAACCUGCAUGUUGUGAAAUGAUCCACUACAAUAUUUUACUAUAAAGGAGUGUUUUUUCUCUAAUAAUACUGGAUAAAGGAACACUACUGACUUUAAAAAGCAUGCUUUUUUACUGAAAAUGUAUUGCCUUUGUGUUUUAACCAUGAACAUCUGCUUCCCUGAUCAUUUAGCUGCCUUUCUGUUACAUAUCAUGUCACUGGUGAGGGAGUGCUGCCUGGUAUAUUUAGCGCCUCAGAUGACUAUACCAGAAUGAAAUUAAAGAAAAAAAUCUUUUGUUGA